GAGGCAUGUCUUAGCUUCAGCAAAUCAAAAGUUUCAGAAUAUUUUGUUUUUGCUGCCUUAGAAACCCAAGGAUUUUGCCGGCGGUCCAGUAAUGUUCUGAUCUGCUGCAAAACUUUACAGUCAGCACAGCCGUCUGUGCAGGUGGAUGUGUGUAUAUUGUGCAUAAAUGCUGAUAAGACAGAUCCCAGGCCUGAAAUUCUGGUCUUGCAAAAGUGAGUGAGAGCUUUGCCACCAAUUUUGGUGAAACUCAGCAGUCUGGCAGUCUGAAAUCCAUCCUGUCCGGGAUGGGAAUGAGUGAAGUGUGAGGCUCUGAGGGCUUCUCCACACCACAACUGUAACGGGAGUGAGCUCUAUGUCUGACUGGACUUAAUAAUGCUUAAUGUGAAAAGUUAAUGUGUUCUCCAAGUUUAGUCAGAUUCUAAUGAAUCUUCUCUGAUUACUAGUUGUGACGUUGCUUAGCAUUAAUUGUGGUGUCUUUGUUUCUUUCCUUUUUCUAUGUAUUUUCAUUACAGGUCUUGGUCAUAUUUAAAUAGGAAUUGACAAGUCUCCAAAGCUUUGAUGGUUGAUUUGGCCAGGUGUUCAGAAGGCCUUUGGCUAAUUCCAAUUCUCUUCUCUGUCUCAGUUAAGACAUCAGUCCACAGAUCUUGAGUGCAAGCUCUCUGUUAUCAUUCCUCACAACUCUCAUUCAAUACGGUUAGAAUUAAGAACAUUUUUUUUCUCCAUGUUCUGGAAGAUUUCUGUGCACAUCUAGUAAAUAGAUAUUAAACAUUGUUCAAGAAAAGUGGUAUGUGGAAAGGACUGACUUUUCUUUUUUCUUUUUCUUUUUUCUUUUUUUACUAGAGAAUUAGAUUUCUUCUUUUUUACUGAGCCAUACACAUCUGUCCUGAGUUUUCAUUGCUGGAUUAAAGGCAUUAAAGAAAUAUCAACAGAGUAAUAUCUUAACUUAUUAUUUUUCACCUGUUGAUAAUCCUUGGCAUUUAAAAUGUCAUUAUUUUAUUUUUGAGACAGAGCUUUAUGAAGAAACCCUCUGUGUGGUGUUUAUUGUGCAAUAAAUAUCAUGUUCCGCAACAAACUUCAGGAGUUAAACCAGCAGAUUAGCUCAAGGAGAGCAGACAGAUCUCAAAGGUAGCUUUAUAGUUAUAUUGCAGGUCAGAGAAUCAGUGCAAAUUUUGUAACUUACAAAUUGCUGAAUUGCAGGAAAUAUGUAGAGUGGUACCCUAAACAAAUAUGUUCUUCAUGCUGUUCUUGAAUAUAAAUCUUACUCCUAUUCCUUUUCUCUUAAUCUAGAUAGUUUGACUUAACAAAUCAGACCUUGGAGUGCUAUAUAGUUGAGUUUUUCAGGUAGUCAGGAUUUUAAUUCACUUCUGUAUUCUGAUUUCACUGUUCUCUGUUUUCACUUUUUCCCUGCAUCCAUCAGAAUUGCUAUCUACUCCUUUCAGAUAUACUAAAGUUUAGGAAAACCAAAUAUUUGUUGAGAUUUUUAGUUCAUAUUUAAGGCAUUUUUAGCAUGGAAUAGGUAUUUUUUUUUUGAUGAUGAUGAUUUAGCCUGGGGAUGAAUGCAUGAUGCUGGCUGAAAAAUCCUUUUGCAGAACCAAGUCCAUUUUUGGUUUCCUUUCUGAGAGCCUGCUGGAAGCAGUGAUAGAUGGUGCCUACUUUGGGUGUCACGAUUUUGCUCUGAUUUUCUUCAGAAAAGUCUGACCACCCUUGUUCCAUCUGAUAGUAACUGUCUUUUUAGAAGACAUUCAUCAUUAAAAUGCAAUGAUAAGAGUAAUCAAAAGGAGUUUCAUUUCUGUCCAGUGAGACAAUGAACAGAGCUUCCCACAUGUAGUGAAGAGUGAACUCUUGGUCAAGCAGUGAGGGCAGCAUUGCGGAGACAGGUGACUCAACACCCAGAAGCAAGAGACAAGAAGUGGCCUGAUAGGUAGCUGCCUCAAAAACUGGUACAGAAAAGCUGUGUUGGAGAAUUUUUGCUGGAUUUCUUAGCUCUCAGCCUCUCACCCUCCUUGCUUUUCCCAAGAAGUCCUCUUAGGAUACCAGCAGUAUUUAUUUAAAAAGUUAGUAACUUCACCUCUUUUGCUAACUGUAGCAAAUGGGACUGUGCUACCAGAUCCCCAGAAAUGGAAGUAUCCAUUCCCUUAGCCACUCAGUGGAAGAUUUUAUCACAUCAUGUUCAAGUGUUAAGUUUGGAAUGGCUUCUGGUGUCCUCCUUGGAUGACUUUCCAGAGCAUACGAUGUGUCAUUUGCCUCAGGAAUGAGUCAGUGAAGAUGGAUUUGUAGUGACAGACCUUAUGUUAAUAGAAAAAAAAAAACCAACAACAACCUAGAAAACAGUGUAAUAAAGUGAAUGAACAACAAAGUAGGUGAAAUAAAUCUCCAAAGAGAAAUGAUGUCUCAGCAGAGAACCAGAUUUAACCGAGAGAAGAAAUUUAUCGAGAACUUAAAGAGAAUCUGCAGGAAGGAAGGUUAAAGUGAACUAAUCAAUAAACGUUUAGAAAGUUGUCAUUUCCCCAAGUCUCCUAACACUCACAAAGUCCUAAUCCUGGCUUCUUAAACUAUAUAGUAAAGCUGAGGUUGCAGGACAAGAUAGUAUAUCUGGCCUGGUGCUUGCAGACGUAAACAAAGUUCCCUAUAUUCUCUUCAUCCCUGGGACCUACAAGCAAACUAAGCUGAUUUAACAAAGCUGAAGUUCUGACUUAGAAUAGCCUCAGAAGCUAUAAAACAAAUUUGGUUUCACCUUGUUUUUCAGAAAACUAAUAAUUCAGAAUGCAGAUGAUUCCAGAUAGAGAUGUAUUUUAAAUGGCUUUACGAGUUUAAAUUAAUAGAUAGGAGUGUAUCACAAAAUUGUAAUAAAUGUGACUCUGCAUUACUGAAGCAUUAUUGAUAAGUUGCUUUUAGUGACAAUGUUAUUGCUCAUUAUAUCAUGGAACAUACUGCAGGCAUCACAGAUAAUUUCUGGGAAAAAAAUAUCAGAAUAUUUACUACUGAGCCUGAUAGAAUUAUUCGUUUGGAUGAGAAAAAUCAGGAAAAGGCUCUGCUCUGACUCAUAUGGCUGAUCAUAAAGUGCAUAACAGAAAUUCUCCAUCGGUGCAGAAAUAUUUACAGUGAGGAGCAGCUUUAUCUGCAGAAGAAUAAGUAACGUUCGUUUUAAAUUAGGCUAACAUACAGCACUGCAUAUGUGAGUAUUCAUAUUUUGGAAACUUUUGCAGUAUGAUUACUCUCCUGUUACACAAUCUGGAACAUAAAUUGGCAGCAUUAGGAGGAGUUUUUCACUCAUUGGCAUAAUGGUUCAACGUGUUAUGGAAAUAACUUAGAUUCAUUUAUAUUCAAGGGCUUUGGAAGAAUCUUUAUGUAGGAUGGUGCUCAAAUGCAAAUUUCCAACAUAUCCAAAUUCACUUGACAUAUUUAUCUCUUAAAAUGAAUUAUCAAAUACAAGGAUAAUACUAUGGAAAAAAUCCAUGUUUUUAGCCAACAGCAGUCAUUUUAUUAUGGAAUGGUAUUCAUAUAUAUCCAAUUACCAUGAAAAUGUCAGAUAUUUUCUGUAUUUAUUUCGCAAGUACUCAAGGAUAUGUGUGUGCUUUGUUGCACAUUUUAUUUAUUUAUUUAUUUAUUUAUUUAUUUAUUUAUUUAAAGCUGUCUGUGGCAAGGCAGUAACAAAUAGCUGCACAGUUAAGUCUGAGGGUAACCUGUGAACAGCCGACUUCGAAAGUGAUCUAACAUCCAAAUGCUUUUAUGGACCACCCUGAGAGCUACUGCAUCUCAUGAGGAUGUGGGGCAGAAUUUAACAUCCCCAGCAGAAGUCAUGAUACAUUGCUUUGCAGGAAGAUGAGUAUGUGCUAAUUCAUGUGUCCUCAGAAGUGUCUUCUUAUUGCCAUUAUCUGAUGCCCAUAAAGGGAGAGUGACCAACUACAGAAUCACUCGGAACAACAGAUCCAUGCUUGUUGACAGAUGUAAAAAUUAAGUGUAGUGUUGAUUUUCUGUUCAUCUCCAUGUUUCACUGCUAUCAGGAAAAUGGCAGAGCCCAGGAGUCCCAACUGUCAGUCUUUGUUGGUACAAGGCCACACUUUCAUCCAUUCAGAAAGCUCAGGAAACAUUAACUGCUGGAAUACUUUCUGCUGGUCUUAAUCAGAGUCCACAGAAAACAACAGCUGAAAGCUGCCUGAAAGGAAGACUGGGGCCUUCAUAUGCUUCACUGGGAAUCUUUCAAGAACUAUUGACACAAGCACCAAAUGAAGAUAUUUUCUUUCCAUGAUAAGCAGGUUCUCUUCACCCAGAAUGUCAGAAACUAAAUUCAUUACAGCAUACAAAACCAUUUGAAGGUGGGCUGAAAAUUCCUGUACCACUGGCUGUAGUGUGUUCAUCCAUCAUGGCCUCACAUCCAUGGUUUAUCUCAUCUGAAAUCUCUGCUCGUUUCUCUUGGAUAUUUUGGAGGGGAUACUAGGUACUGUUACUUAUAUCCAUUCAGAGAAGACUCCUGUAUUUCUGUAAAGCUAAUUAAAGGUAAAUGGAGCUCUAUGUAAUUAAGUGAAAAAUGUAAAUGUGAAGCUGGGGAGCUGCUUCAGUCAAGUGACAUAAGAGAAAAGGGGAGUAAGGUUCUUGAAAAUCCCACUGUGGAAAAGCUAAUUCACAGACAGGACAGGGGAACUGAGUGGGUUUUAUUUUUCAUUCCCACGUGCUGAAAUAUUUUCAAUGCAAGUCUAAAAUAAACAUUUAAACUAAAAUUUAAAAUAGCAUUGAAUGGUUCAAGGAAGCUUCUGUGAAUACAGAGAGUUAGAUUGAAUCCCAAAGUCUGAGAUGCCUGCAGCUCAAGUAAUACUGUCCCUUAGGCAUUAGCUGUGUCUUGAUCUUAUCUAUAGAGUAUCAACCAAGGAAACAGAGAAACAUGGGCAUCGCUUUGAAGAAUUGCCUGUUCGAAGGCACAAAAGUCUACCCAUGAAUCUCCAUCAUUUUCUGGGUACCUGAGAAGGACUUAAGUCUCUAAGAAGCCAACAGACACUGUUUGCCCCACCAGUGCAGAAACUAUGUGUGGAGACACCAAGUUGUCAUCUCCCAGGUUUAUUCUUGUUGUUUGUGCUGUCCAGCCUAAAUGUCACUCAUCUUAGGGAUCUGCCCUCUCCUGAGGAGGCAGCCUUUCUGCCCUCUUUUGCACAAGGAGCAGCAGAGUUGGCAAGAAGGUGAGGAAGGGAACACCCUUGUCUCCCAGAAGAGGGAUGGUGAACUGAAUCCCAUGCAUUGCCCCUCAUAUCUGUCCCACCAUCCUUCACUUCUCGUGAUUACUCCCUGAUCCUUCUCUACACAGCUGCCUUGGGGCUUGCUACAAGCUCCCCUGCUGCCUGCUUGUGUAGGAUGUAAGGCAUUACACGCUUUCCACAGUUUCUCGGGGGACCCCUCUAACCACAAGUAGUUUAUAGUUCAAUGUAUAUUUGCAAAUGGAUAUUUUUGCCUUAUAUUGCAAUAGGCUGCUUAGCCCUGGGCAGUACUGUGUUAGGAAUGGCAUUAAUUUCCUCCACAGACUCCUGAGCAGAAACUACAAAGACUGGAAGUAGAGCACAGAGAGACUGUGUUGGUGGCCUCAGGGGAAGCUCCAGACAGCUCGGGACUACAGAGCAGGACUCGGGGUCCUGGGGCACUGUGGAUGAACUGCUGCAGCUGAAUGCAAGACGUGACCUUUCCUCCCAUUCACUGCCAACCAAAAGGAGGAAGCAGAUUUCUGGGUCGACAUCCUCUCCCGAGGAUGCAGAUAACCACACUAUGCUCUUACAGCUUUACUUUCAGUGGAAUAGUCCAGCAUACCACGUAUACCAUCACAACUUUUAGCCCCGGCAGGAGAGUUCAGCUAUUAGCUUUUUGCUGUGUUAUCAAACAGAAUAUUCUCUUUGCUGUUCUGUAACCUCCUGAAACUGCAAGUGGGGACAUGGGCAAUGCAUCCUUGCAAGCUUUCAAGCUGUAUGCUGCUCUCUCAUAGCAGCUAUCUCUCAUGCCUCGGGGCUGCAGUGCUAUUGUACUCUCCCAUUGGACAAGAGAAUAUAGAAAGAAAGGUUUAGUCUAAUCAGGGAAGCAAGUAGCAGGGUGUGAAAGAUAAAGGAGAAGGAUACUAGCAAGGAAAAUAUAGUUCAGUUCCAGGAAGUCAUGUUUGUAUUGAACAGUGCUGAGGCUGACUGGGAAGAGAAGAAAUUGAAUAGUUCAUGCAUUAAUACUAGCGGGAUAGUUUUGUGCAAAAGGAAUUGGAAAUUCUCACUGAUGAAAGGAGGGCUGAUGUAACUGAUGAGAGUUAACAGGAUGAUUCACGUGAAUUUUUAAGUCUCAGGUUACAGCUCUCAUAAGAAGGACUGAGUUGGGGGGAUGGUACUCUCUCUGAUCCUACCUCCUCUAAAGUGAUCUGUGGCUGCACGAGUGGGAAAGUAUGCUAACUGUAACCUCCAGAGCAAUGUUGGGGAAUAAGGAAGGAGGAAUAAAGAGAUGAUGUCUGUUACAAAACACUGAAUCACACUGGAAGGUGGGAUGAAAAAAACAUCUGUCUGCAUUGUAGAGUGAAAACUGCAUUAUUAUGGGGAACUAAAGUUUUGAAGAUCUCACACAACUAGUAGAAAACUAUGAGUUUAAGUGAUUGAAAAUAUUUUUUUUUCUUAUGCACAGAAGGAGAUUCCACUUGACAGCUCUGUGAUGGGAGCAUCAUUCCAACAGAUAAUGAUAGAUUAAUUCCAGGACUAUGAGUUGUUGAUUGCCUGUGGCUUAUAUGGUCUGGUUACAUUCAUUAUGAACAAAGGACAGUCCUAACAAGGAAUAUUAAUAUUUGGAGCUUCGCAGAAUUGAAUUUCUCAUCAUUAAGGAAUAUUAAGAGAAUCUGACCGGAGGGUGGAUGCAAGUCAAAAAAUAUGCUUGCAAAUCAGGAGCUGUUUAAGAAGUUUGCUAGAUGGGCAAAAAGCCAUGGCCUGGAGUCAUCAAUAAGGACAACUUUGGCAGAGUUCAUGAUGACUGAGGAAGAAAGCCCAUGACAACAGAUUUCUUGAGCACAAAGGACUGUAAAGGGGCAGUGGACUGUUGCAUGGAGACAACCACAGCAUAUGGCUUCUAGCACAGCAUAUGAAUGUCCUUGGAUAUUGGCACUUUUUCCUACUUUUUGGAAUGAUCCGGUGCUGAGGUCCAUCCACUAAGAGGAUGACCCUGGCUGAAUGACAAGGGUAAUGCAGGCAGCAGCAGUUUAGGGCUGCUCUCACAAAGUUAGCAAUUGCCUUCAGCCUGACAUCCAGAUUCUGACACUGGGUGAAAAAGAUAACCUCCUUUGGUGUUCUUGGAGAAACUACUUUUUCCCCUUUGCAAAUGAUUUGCAACUUGUGUUUGAAAAUUCAUUUGCAAAUGAGCUUGUGUUUGAAACAAAAACCAUCUUAACAUGAGGAGGACUUUAAUUUAGGGGAAAAAACUAACAGCAGCAGCAAAUCAAUGGCUCAGCUAUACAAAUAAUGUGAAAUAUCUGCCUACAUGUUAACCUCCAGCAGUCUUUUAUCUUCCUCUUCUUAGCUGCUUGCCUGAGCAACAGACGACUGCCCUUUCAACACACUGUUUUCCUCCCACGCUUUGUUUUUUGAUGCCCCACUCUCAGCCCAACAUCAUUAGCUGUUAAAGUCCAUCAUCUGAACUUAGGCAGAGUCAUCCCCAGCCCUGAGGAGAAAUGGUACUCAUGUUUGUGUAACAAAGACUAUGUCACUUGACCUUGCAUGACUGCAAUUCUGGUCCCGUCCUAUGUCCUAUGUGGAUGGGGACUGUAACAGCCUUGAUGGAAAAGGGGGAGAUACCUUGGUUCAGAGCAGUGUUGCCUUCUGCAGCCCUACCACCCCAGCAGCUUGGAUGCUCCCAUCCCAGCUUGAAGUACAACAGCUAUUGAGGACUUAGUGCAGUCAGGGUGCUAGGCUGCAUGAUGGGACUGCAAGUUCUCCAAGCUGUCUCCACAUAAUCUCUUUCUAAAGACACCAUUUAUUUAACAAAACAUAAAUUUCAGAGAUUGGACCCAAUGACCUCCAGAGGUUCCUUCCAACCUUAACCAUUCUGUGAUCUGGUGAAAAUUGCCUUCUGGUCAUCCAAACAUGCAAACCAGCAUUUUAUUUAUUUAUUUAUUUAUUUAUUUAUUUAUUUAUUUAAGUGGAGGUGAAAAUUUCAGCAAAUUCCAUUAGAAUUCAUUUAUUCUGGACGCAUUUGCUCCAUUUUUAUUUUCCUUGCUUGAAUAUGAUACAUACUAGCUAGCAAAAGUGACAGGUGAAACAGGUGACAUUUUGAAUGAUUGCAAGAGAAUUCUCAUUGAAACUAAUUUUGGAAUUAAAAAGCAUUAGAAUUGGCACUGAAAAACUUUUACUAUAAGCGUGUCAUCUAAUCAGGGAACAGAAAACUAUCAUCUGAUGUGCGUUAUCAAUCAAUAUUAACCAACACAGCUCAACAAAGAAUGUUGAAUGCUGCUGUAAAUUUCUCUCAAAAAAACUAUAAAUCAAGAAUAUACUCUUAAAUUAUAUGACAAGUAAAUUCUAGCAGGGAAUUACAUAGAGGUGAAAAAAACCUCUAUAUUGUUUGCCAACAAUUCACAAAACAAGAGGUAAAGUGAUGGAGUCAUUGUGAAAAAUAAGCCCAGUUCUAAUUUUUUGUAAAUUGUUUUGCGGUUGCGAUUACAUUUUCUGAAACGUUAUCCAUUUUUCUGUAACUAAGUAAUUUUGAUUCAACGAGAUUCAAGCAAAAAUCAUUUUAGAAAUGAUUGCUGUGUGUAUGGAAAUGUUUCAGAGCUCAGAUAACUGUCCCGAUGAAUGCAUGAAUAUUAAUCUAACAAUAUAUACUGGUGGUCACGUGGGUCUAGAAAUUAUUAUCUUCUCAAACAGGGAAAAAUGAAGAAUAAAAAUGUCAUCUAGUAUUUAGCAAGGUUGGGGAAACCGUGAAAAUGGACCUAAUGUUAACAAGCAUUCAAAACGUGAUAGGAAGUACUCUGGUGCCAAAAGAGGUGCAAGCACUGUGUUGCCUCACUCCCAGGCACCUUGUAGCAUCUGCAACAUCUGUGUUAAACUCACUGCACAGCACGUGUAUAGAAGUGCUUGCCUUAGGGUGGUGUCCAAGAACUUUGCUGUGAGAAGACGAAGGUAGGCAGCAGCAAGCACUAACAAAUAGUGCACCUUCCUGAAUGCUGUCCUUCCACCAGAGUUGAGUGCUCAGGGAAGGUUUUUCCUUUCUGAAGGUGGGCUGUUAAGUCUGCCUUGCUCUGUGAAAGCUCCACACAGUCUACUGAGAUCCGGACAGCUUGCACUCAAGCUUUUUUUUUGUUACUGGUUGUAAAAUACUUCAACACUAAUUGGAUCCUCAGACUACAUUUUUCCUGUUUUCAAAGGAGAGCUAAUUUAGGCAAAGAGAGCAACAAGUGCCCCUUUACCCUCUCUCAUUUCCAACAAGAAUUUGAUAAUUUUGUGCAAAGCAGAAUUUACCCCAAAUUAGCCCAAAUGCAGCUCCAGAUACUGCGCAAAGGGCCUGUGGUUGGGGCAGCAUGGGGGCUUUAAUACAAUGUGCUGAUCCUUCCUGGUAGAGGUGAGCAACUGCAGCAUCCCAGCUGGAUCCUAAAAUAGAGUGCUUGUGUUGGUAGAAAAAGCAUUUCUGGGGACCCCACUGCAGUACACUGCAGGAAAGCACAGCCCCUGCUUUAGGGGUCCCAGCUGCACUCAUUUCUGAGAUGGCACUGAACAGGGCUGGGAGAGAAAGAGCCAGAAUCAGACACUGGUCGAGAAAAAAAGAGAGCAAGAGCUGCAGCUUUCAGGUGCUUAAUUAAUGCAAAGAUAACCUUAAUCUUAUUACCAGGGAGAACUUGGUGGCAGGAAUCUCAUUUAUACUCAGCCCAUUCCCUCUCCUGGCAGAAGUUCCCAGACCUCAGGCAGGGUAAGAGCAGUGCAGAGAGAACAGCUGAAACUCGUGGCCACAGAGUGGGUGAAAGAAAAGCUUUGAGAAAAGGGGUAGCUGGCAGUCUGAGCAUGUUAAAUGUGUUGGCUCAAGGCCUUUUAGUUUUAUUCCCACAAAAGAAAUCAAAAGAUAAGCCGGAGAGGACUUCUUCCCCUCUAUCAGUCUGAACUAAAUUGCUUUAGGCUACGUUGAUGUUGCUCAUGAUACCUCAGUUGCUAUUACAAGUGCUUGCCAUUAAUAAAUCCACUAAUAAGCAUAUGAAUCUGUAGCUAAAUUGCUCAAAAAUUUCUCAGAACAAACAUUUUCAAAGAUUUUUAUCUUUAUGACACCAAAACAGAAUCUAUUUAAAAGUGUUUCAGAAAUAGAACUAAGAAUUUAAAAAUGGUUUUGAGAUGCUGUUAAUAGUUUCUCCUGCACAAGUGCUUUAAUGUGCAUACACAUAGAGAUGAGACAGAUACUUAAUAUUUUAUAUAGUAAAAGUUCAUGUUGUGGACUAUGGAAAUUGUGGUCUGAGAAGUCUUGGGGAGAAGCAAAUGCUGAAGAAAUUUCAGCAUCUGUUUGCUGUGUAGUCCUUCCUAUCUACUCAAGGCUACAGGAGGGAGGAAGGGCAACUCCAUCACCAGACCUCUGCACAAAGGCUGCUCAGAGAAGGGAGUUUGCUCCCUAUUGGUGCUGUGUGGUGGCUGCCUCUGCUGGAAAUCCUCCUUCACUGCUUCCAGAUCUGACCCAAGAUCUGUCUGCUUGAAGAAAAAGACAAGCAGGGAUUGUCUGAGUCACAGCAUAACCUCAUGCCUAUUCCACAUACCUGAGUUGGGACGUGUGAGCCCUCAAACAUAAAGGAGGAAGUAAAUCCUCACUGUAGGAGCUUCGGAGCGUUAGGGUUUAUCCAAAAUGCCAUACAUUAUGUUAAAAAAUAUAAAAUACAGAAGAUGAAUUGGAACCAUAGGUAUCUGGUUGUGCCAGUCUGUUUUUCUAUACACACGUGUGGCAAAUUCAGUGUUUAAACAUAUAUGUGGUUAAAAUGAGUGUUUUCGACAUAUCAUAACUAGAGCUGUGCAAGAAGACAGUUGCUGUUAAGACAACAUGAGAAAGCUCACUUGCUGGACACUGCCCCUCACUCAGUGAGGAUUUGAUGGCUUCAUACUCUGAAGCAAAAUUCUACCAAUUUUAAAAGAGCUUUUAAAAAAGGAAGGAAAGCCCUACAGCGUCAAGCAGCUUCAGCUUUUACCCCUGAGAAAAAGGCUUCAGUGCCUGCAACUUUUUAGUUCUGCAAUGGAAAGGUAUGUUAUCGAGUGCCAAGGGGGGAGGUGGGUGGGAGUUGUAUUGCACUCCCUUUUCUCCUUGGCCUUCCCACACCUGUUGUGAGAGCACUGUGGUUUUCAGGAGGUGGCAGCAUCUAGCACGGUGUCCAAGGGAACCCAAGGGGAGAUAGUUGUUGUAGGCAUGGCAGAUCCCUGCUUGGGAGCCAUCCCUUCAGUCAUCCACAGCUCUUUUGUCAUUAGGCAGCAUCAGGAUGGCAGAGCCUCCUGCGUGACUGCUGGAGGAUCUGUGUUACACUUGUUAAACAUACAGGUCCCCGUGUGAUUAUUCAGAUGAGCAGUCAGGUGAUUCAUUUCCUCUUUUAAGCAUCUAGGCACCGAGCAGAGCACCGGGGCUGCUAUUAUUUGUAUUUGCAGCUGCUUGUCAUGGCCUCGCUCAUUACUGCCUGUGCAGAACCAUUAGUGGGUGGAGUGUUACUGACACAGACACACUUGCCCUGAGGAGCCCACAGUCAAAAGCAAACACUGGGAUAGUGAGGGCAACAAAUAUGCAAAAAGCACAGGAAGGAGAGAAUGAGGGCUGUAACACUGGGAGAUUAUGAGAUGUGCUUGUUACGUUCACCUCUUGCUAGCGCCUUGUUUUCCAGUCUCUGCUGACACCUAACCUGAAUGAUCUUGCAAGGGAAUCAUGUUCUGAAUUCAUAUAGCUUCCUGUGAUAAGCUGUUGAUGCGUGAGUGGUAUUUUUGAGACACAGAGGAGACAUGUGAGAGAAACAGAAGCUUGAUUUCACGGCGAGUAGAAUAUUCUAAUCAGCGAGCAGCUUAUCGGCACACUUAUGGGCAGCAAAUGCUUCACAAAUCCUGGGGAAUGCCAGCUGAAAAUCCCCCUCAUUACUGACAUAGCUUUCAUGACAACCCUCCUCAGUGAUAUCAGCUAUUGUUUAUCUCGAGGAGCAAUGCUGCAGUUGGGUGGGAAGGUGUGCGGAGCUUUUCCUGCAGACAAAUGAAGGGCUGGAUUCAUGGGUGAGAAGCAGACCUGCUGCCAUUCGCAGCGCUUUUCCUAUUCAGUGGUCACAGCAAAUGACACCUUUUCAUUUUCCUUCCCUGCAUUUCACAGCACAAAAGGAAAACUUAAACCUAAACCAGCUAUUCCUAUUUUCGUACAGUUCUUUCUUUCCCCUUUCCAGAUGGUACAUGCAGGGGCACAACAUGAACCCGGCACAGAAAUGAGCAUCCAGAAGCAAGCGUUCCAUUAGCUCAGCUCUGCAUCUGAUGUGUUUAUUUGCAGUGGAUCUAUGCAGCAGGCUGACAAGCAGAAUCCUUUGCUUCACGUAUCACUGACAGAGCUCCAGUGAGCAGGCACCAAUAGGGAACAAACAGUGAGAAAAGCUUCAUCAAGGCAUGGCCCUUGUUUUCUUUUUCUUUUUUUCUCUUUUUGGGGACAGAUACAACUGAUCAAAACCUUGAUCAGUGAAGGAGGCUCAUCAGAGGCAAAAUUAAGAUAAUAGCAUCAUAGCUACAAAUUGUCAUAAGAGGCAUUUUAUGACACAAUUUAGUUGAAUUAGGUACUAUUGACCUCAGAAUGAUAUAUCUAGAAAGGAAAAAGGAAUUAUCUUAAAAGAGAUACAGGUCUUCUGAAUACAAAUGGUAAGCUGUGUUUUUCAACUUCAAUUUGUUUUGAGAUCAGGUAGGAUGCCUCCAAAAUGGAGGUCUCUGAUUUUCAAGCUCUUCUCAUGCACAACCCACAGAACCAGAAGGUUCACAGUGUGACAGAUAUGGCUUUGUCUACGCUAGUGUAGGAAGCUAGAGCAUGGGCCUGCGUGUUGACCUGGACCAUCCAUACUGGAAGCUGCUGGGAAGGGUCCUUGACGUGGCUUUGGCCUGUGCCUGUUGGCAUCCCGUGGUGUCAGGCACGGCCUGAGGUCUAGCACAGGCUGAGGACCAGUGCAGCUGCAGACCAGAUCCAGCCCCAUGCUCCAACCAAGCUCAGCCGUAUGGAUGAAAGCAGUGCUGUGCUAGUGGCCUCAGGCUAGAGGACAAUCCCUGCUUGUUCAUAGGAAUGCAGCUUCCAGUACUGGACAGAGAAAAGGCAAAAAACUGCCUUCUGCACCAAAAAAUAUUGUGCCAGUAAACAGCUCUGGUAACGACUUUCUGGCUAUUGCACGGUGACUCUCUGAGAGCAUUCUGCUGUAGUGGAGCAUCUCAGAAGGCAUGGUCAAUCUGGAAAUAUGAAGCAGCAGAAACUGGGCUAUUUCCAUAGCUGGACAUGCAGAGGGAUGUAACACACCGAGGAGUGUAUGCUCAUCAGGUGUAAGCACGCUAGCUCUCAGAGGUGGUGUAGGUACAUGGUGGCAUUGCAGUUUAUGGAAUGCAGCCCAGCUGGUAAAUACUGACAGCAUCCUAGUGUGCAGGUUGUGGAUCAGCUCUCUGCUAGUUGAGACAGCUGCUCUGGUGCCUUUCCCAGGCUGUCUGUGUCAGAUGGGAGGUGUGUUAGGCACUUGUUCAUGGUAGAGCACUGGAGCAGGAAAGGGUUGACCAAAGGGCUUAGCUAUUGUUGAGACAAAAGUAAUAGGCAGCAGGAGUCACUGAAAAUGAAAAUGAACUGAGCAUCAAUCAGUGCAGAAGUCCGGUUCACCUUGAGAAACAAUUAGUAUCUCCAACCCAGGCAAAAUUGAGAUGUCCUCUGUCACCUCCAACUUCAUUAAACCAAGGAGGUUUCCUACUGAAUGUACUUGACAAGCACACCACAAAUCCCGUCUGAGUUCUCUGAUGCUUUCAAAAAAGUGGCACCUCCUGGGGCCUGGAAUUUGCUGACACGAGUGUUAUAAAAGACUUUUUGUAGGAUUGAUGGCAAAUAAAAUACUCUGCUGCAGAUUGCAAGCAUCUUUACGGCACAGUUAUGGGUAUCCUUGCUCCAGGCUUGCAGACUGAUUCCCACGUGACAGACAGCCUCACAGGUUUUAUGCAUUUAACAAGUGCAUUGGCACUCUCCCCCAUAUUUCAGCAUAAAUCCAGGAAAACAGGCAUCAGGUGAAUGUCUAUUUUGAAUCUGACUUACAGAUUCUAACAUUCCUGUUUUUUUUGUGUGUGUGGUUGCAGAAAGUCUCACUUUUGCCUCUGCUUUCUGAAGCAGAAAUAAAAGACUGUAUCACAAAUGUCAGAAUCAAGAUGAGAACCACGUCUGAACCAGGGCUCUGUACGUGCACAUGAAAUACAUAUUAGAGCGAACAAUUCCACAUAAUGUUUUUAUUAAAAAUAGUUUAAAGGGAAGUUGAGAGAAACUAGAAAAACAGAGCCUUCUCUUCACAGGUGCUGAGCACCUGAAACUUCCAUUAGCUUUCUAUAGGCCUCCGUUUCUUUUAGGUUCAAGGUACUCUUGGAACAAAAUACACUUAAGAGAAAUGUUCUGCUUUGUAAAUGGCAGUGGCCAACUACAGACAAUAACAAGCUGAGGAAGGACAAGGGGCACUCUUCUGCACAAUGAUAGGAGCAGCUCUGAAAAAAGCCCAGAACGACUUGAUUUUUCUGUGCUUAUUUGAGCAGAAUGCUCCAGAGUAGGCCUAUUAAAAAUCUCUACUAAAUUUUAUAUUCAUUGAGAAGUGAUAUCAUUUGUAAUCGUGAACACCAUCUUUAGCUUUGACUUGAAGUACGUUAAGCUGCUUUUCCCUUAUCCUUUGUAACUUUGUGCAGUAAAGGAUUCUUAACCUCCUUCUGUAGCACUAUUCUGGGAGUCAACUUUCUACUGUAUGCCUAUCUUCUUUUAUCACAUCAUUGGCUUCUCUUUCCAUGUUGCAUAUUAGUACCACUCUUAUUUGUAGUAACCUCUAGCCUGACUUUCAAAAAUCCCUCUCUUUUAAAGUAUGCUUUAUACGUUGUCUAAUCAUCAUCUACUACAGAGCAGCAGAUUUCAGUGCCAAUGAGCAAAGUACUUGGCUUCCUUUCGCACUUGUGCAACCUGUUGAGACCCAAGGAAGUUGUGCGGGUGUUGCAAAGGAUUUGGCCAUACCGUUCAGAGUCUGAGAUACCUGCCUAAUCAUGGUGCUCCCUGAGAGACUUCUACUUCCCUGGAGGAUGUUCCUCACUCUGACAGGUCUGAAAGGAAACUCACAUUUCUGCAUUUUAAGGAACACCACAAUGCCUGUAUGGAAAUUGCACUGUCACACAAUAAAUAAAACGUGAGGUAAAAGGAUACUAUCUCUGCUCCAAAGAUUUGAUACUUCUUCCAAGAGAUGCAGUACAUCCAGCACUUCACUCCUUCUAAUUGUGGACUAUGAAAGCAUUGGCUGCGGAGGGUGCUGGACCUUACCAACCCCAUGAAGGAAGGACCAAAAAAUCCAAAUAAAAGUUAUUCAUAGAGGACUAUGGUGCUUUACCAGGCUGUGGUUACCGCCAGGAUGACGCUGAUUGGUAGCCCAGUGCCUGGGAUGGAUUAGGAUCACUUGCUGGGCAGCUUUUCAAUAUUCUGUUUUAUCUUCAUCGUUCAGCACGUGGCCCCAUGUCUCGGGUACUGCACUCCAUUCAAGCUGUGCUCUGGAUACAUAAUUAUUAAUUUCAUCAGCAGCUUUUUGGUGGCAGUCACUGCUAUUGUUUUCAAGUGGAUUGUGAAUAGCGCUGAGUUCUGUUUUUCCUCUUUGAGAUGAGGGGACAUUGUUAUCUUCAUUUUUCAGGUGGAACAAAAAGACACAGGAAGAUUAAAGUGCAGAGGUUCCACUAAUUUCAGACACCAAAGAUCUCUGUAAUUACCCUUGUGGAAAGCUGAUAGCGUUAGCAAUAGCCUUCAUGUGGCCUAAUGCUAACAAAGACUCACCAGCGGCUGUCACAUCUAUUUGCUGAUGGGGGAGGCUCUGGAGCCCUGAGCUCCAUCCUAAUGCUGGCAAGUGCACCAUAGAGAGAUGCAAGCUCUCUUGCUUGUCCCUUCUGCAGCACACGGUCCAUGGACUUCUGGCUGCCCUCCUCCCCACCCCUGCCUCCAGUUGCAGUGGGUGGCUUCGUCCCAUGUGCCACUGAGAGUGGGGACUCUGCUUCCAGUCCUGCUAACCAGAUCUCAGGAAAGCUUACAGUGUGGGUAAAUUUGGGUUGAUUUUCAGAGAAUUAGCAAAUGAUCUGUUAACUUUUCCAGAAGAUGGAGCCAGGGUAUACAUUGUUCCUUAAGGUUGUUUUGAGGGGGAACAAAAAAACCAAACAAACAGAACAGUCUGCUUAUUUCCCUAAGUAUUUAGCCUGCAGGAAAAUCUGAUUAGAAGACUUCAGCCCCACAGGUUAAAGUGUAGCCAAAUUAUGAAGCAGAGAAAUCUUGGAUGACUUUACUGGUAGCAGAGUACUUGUAGCAGCCUUGCUGCUAAUAAGAAGGCAUGUACACGCACACAUGCACCCACAGAGACUUCGUGCGCAUAGACAAGCACAAUAAUUAGCAGGACGCUGGUUGCCCUCUCAUUUAUUUCACUUGUUCUUUUCUGUAGAGCUUAAUCUUGCAGACAGUUUGCUUUAAUCCUGAGUGGAUGGAAACGGCAGGAGUCUGUGUAAAAUUGGUGUAUGUUUUCAGCCACUGAGAGCAGAAACCAUCAGAAGGCAAUGCUGAAUAAAUCCAGAGGAACACCAUGGCAUUAAGGGUGCAUCAUGCUGAGCAUGCCUACUGUGGUAGAAGGUGACUCCCAUCCCAGUGAUGGAUGAGAUCCUGAACGAGGUAGGAUCUCCUCAUGUUUCAUCUACGCAGAACUGCUGAAAGCUUCAUGUUGUGGUCUAAUUCAAAUUAAUUGAAUUGUAAUGGUAAACACAUAAUCAGACAAACAACAGAAGUACAAAGCGAAGGAGUCCACCACGGUCAUUCCUCUUUUGAAAAUAUGAUAACACCUGCACAGAAAAAAAUCAUGAAAGUGGGAGGAAAAAAAUCAUUUGCCUAUGGAAAAAAAAAAAAGUCAGGUCUUUUAAAAGGUGAGCUGCCAGAUGUUUUGUAUAUUAAUGAUAUCUUUUACAUAGUAUAAGAGAGGGUAAUGCAUGUAUCAGUAAGGGCUCAAAUUUAUAAGGAGUGUGAAACAAUAAUUUAAUCCUCCUGAGAUAUGUUAUCAGUGCCAACCCCAUGCUUUUUAUACACAUGUAAACUUCAGUGGAAACCAUCUUAACUGCUUUCCUUCUUAUUAAACAGUCUUCCAAAAUCUAUAAUUCAGCGAGACAUUAAGCAGUUGGCAUUUGUUGCUAUACAAUCCAAUUCUGCAAGCCCCACUGUGAAUUCAGCAGGGCAUUCUCCACCAGCCAGCUUUGUUAUCAGUAACUCUACAUGAAAGAACUUGUGUUUUCCCACUAAUGAAGAAAACUGAAGAAUAAUAAAGUUGUUCAGUAUUUUAGAACCUUACUGUGGAUUGCAGCCUUGAGAUUUAAAUGCAGAGAACUGUUGAGAUGCUCUUGAAUCCAAGUGUCUGUCACUGGUAAGUGACUGUAUGCUUUUAUCUCCUAUAGAUUCACAUAUAUGAGUUAUAGUAACAUGUGGACAUCAAUAAGAUCAUAUCACUAAAUUCUGUUAGGAAACCUCAUAUACUCAAUGUGCUGUAUGUAUAUUAGCAAGUUGCAAGUAUGAUCUAUGCCUUUUAAGAAUCUUAUUUUUGCAGAAUGAUAGCUUUGCCCUUCACACUAUUUAUUGACCAGUAAGCAUGUCAGGAGCACUCCUGCCACAGAUACUGACCUCUGUGAACAUAAAGUGCACUAUGAUCCCUAUUGCUCCAUCACCACCUUCAAGUUUGCAUGGUGUGUGCCACCACCUCACCUGCAUGAGCCCAGGAGGUGCUCCAGGCAUGUAGCAGAAGCUCCCUCAAGCUCAGGAGAAGCCCAUGGAGGAGCAGGCCAUCCCCCCGCAGCCCACGGAUACCACAUGGAGCAGAUCUCCAUGUGCAGCCAUGGAGGAGUCUAUGGUGCAGCAGUGGAUGAGGCCUGGAGGAGCCACAGCACAUGACAACUGCAAGGCAUGGGUCAGCAGAACGAUAUCUACCAUACAGGCGGCUUAAGCUGCCAGAUGCAAUGGGAGCUACUGGCACAAGCAGGAUGAUGCUGCAGCUCACUAUGAGACUGGGUGGCUCGCAACUAUGGCUUGAUGAGAUGGCAUCUCCAGUAACCCAAUAGGUGGGAGUGCGAGCAGGUUGGUGCUUCACUGAAGGAAAGACUCCAAGGAAUUAACUUUUUGGUAGCUAUAUGAGGAAACUUGGUAAAAAGUCAUCAUCUUCUGAAUGGGUAUGUAUCUGCAGCUGAAUUUUAUUGCUUCUCAGUGGGUAUGUGAGCCAGGAUAGAGCCCAUGGGGCAUUUUGCAUGAAUGUUCUUCAGCAGGAAUGCAGACACUUGGUAAUUAAAAGAAAUGGAGAUUAUCUUUUUCCUAUCUUCUCAUGUCUGGUCCCCAAACUGGCCGAGGCAUUGCAGAGUGGCCAUUGUCAUCAUCAUGAAAAGCUUCGCUGCAGGCAGGAAUUUGGAGAGAUGACCUGAAUUUUAUACUGUUUCCUUCUCUCUUGACAGCUUGUCAGCAUAGCCAUAAAUGUUUAUUAGAGAUUUUCAACACAGAGAAAAGCUACUGACUAAAAUGUUCUUUAAUGGAUUUUACUGCUGUGAUGAGCAGGGCUGAUUUGCACUUGUGAUCGCCUAGACAUCUCCUGUGAUACUCCAGUAUUUCCUUGUUGGUUCAGAUGUUAAAGUAGGUAAGCUUUCUUUAAUUCAGCUAACAUUUUCAGCAAAUCUAGCUGAUUGAAAAACCAAAAUAUCACAGAUGACAUUUGGCCCCGAGAUUAGGGGAAAUCAGGUAUGGGUGUUAGCUGACUCUUAAAAUCAGUGUCAGAAAAGUCAAUUCCUGUGCCAAUGCACCUUGGCUUCACACAACGCAUGGUGUGACCGUUUGUACCUUCAAAGACGCAUUGUCAAGAGACCCCCCAGAUUUACUUCCAGAUGAAAUAGAGGAAGUUGAGCAAAUAAAGGACAGAGAACUAAAGGUGAAGAGGAACAGGAGGAAGAGGAAAGAAAGAAUAAAGGGAUAGUUACACUAAGACAAAGGGCAGUGAAUGAAAUAAUCAUGCAACAAAGAUGGAAAUGGAGGCAGAAAAGGGGGGUAGAGAAUGGAAGGCAAUAGGCAGAAAUCCCUCCAUACUCUGCUCUGACUGCCAAGAGCACUGCUGUGCCUACCCUGACAGGAAUAGCUGCAGUUACACAUCCAGACUGUGCUGUAGGCUGGAGGAGGAAGGCCAUGUCUUGCCCAUAAUUACCCACUUAGUAUAGAAGGAAAAUUUGCUCAGGAUUUUAGGGGAUUACACUUUUUUGUGCAACUGCUAUUUAAAAUAUUCUUUUCAAGUGGCGCAACAUUUUACCUGCUCACAGGAAUACCAAAAUACACUCUGAAAUGGGAGGUAUUUGAUGCAUUCAAAAAUUAGAGGAACAAAUUGCUUCCUGCAUAGUGAUAAAUAUAAUGCACUCCAUUUGUAGGAAUAGUGCUUAUAAUAGUUAUGUCUUCAGAAUAAUAAAACAGGUUUAUAAAAUAAAGUUACCUGCUGUCUAUUUUUUGCUGGUGAUAAGAGUUGUUAAGGAUUUGCUGGUCUUUUUAUGUGUUUAUUUGUGACUAGUGCUUCCCACAAAAUACCCGCUACUGUGCAAAUGCAAUUAAGAUAAGCAUUUUGAAAUGGGUUUGAAACAGUUCCCUCUUCUGGAUAGAAAGCAGUAGCAGGGACCAACAUCAGUGUGUAAACACAGAACACAGGGCAGUCUUUGAAUUUCCUAACACAGAAAUGAAUAAAUCUUUGCUCUGUAAACCAGUUCUGUAGAAGAAAGAUUUCAUGGUGUCACUGGGCUCGGCAGUAAUAGUUACCCCUUUUCUCUGUCUUGAAGUCUCAACAGCUGGUAGAUUUACUUCGACUUUCAGCAAUACGCCUCUUUCAAAUAAAUAUCACUUUCUCAGGGUAUGAAAUGGGUGUUGAGCAAACACAGACACAAAGCAAAAGCCAAAACUCACAAACAAACAGUAUUUGCAUGUUUCAGAAAUGCUGUAUGUUUUAAAAGUAUGUGGUAACAUAAAUAUUUUGCAGUGAUUUCAUAGAAUUGAAAGCUUCUAAAAGAAACUGGGGAAGUUUUGAAGUACUGCCUCUGGAUACAACUUUAUUCUUGAAGCAACUUACUACUUCUCAACAAGAAAUUCAUCUGUUGAACUGUUCUGCUGUUUGUUCUCAGACCAGUAAGUAGCAGCUGGACCUAAUGUGGGCCUUUCUCAUGCUGAAAAACGCACCUGCUUUCAUGCAGCCAGGGAGGCAGCAUUAAUACUCUACUGCAGCCAGGAACAUACGUAUGAGCUACCAAUUAGGAAACCUUUCAAAGUGUGGCUUUGCAGCCCAUCUGUGAUCUGCAGACCUCAGCUUGGGAACCAUUAUUCUCCUCUAGCAGCACCUGGGGAACAGGAGGGAUGGAAAACUGUGGGGCUUGGGAGAGCAAAGUCUAUUAAAUACUAUGGCAACAGGUAGGCAAACAGCAUUCUCCCUCUCUCCUUUACUAAUUAGUGGCUGUUAGCAUCUGGAGUUGACUGUCUGUUGGAUGUAAUUUGCUACACUCCAUCUUGUGAUGGUGCAAAGAAGCUGAAGGAUGAUACAAGGAGCAGUCAAGCUGAGAGGCAAAGGAACUAUUAGGGAUGAACUCCUGCUUACACAUUUUUCAAUACCCUGUUUAAAAUAAAAUCAUGCUCCUGGAGGCCUAGGAAGAAUGUGCCUAAAAGUUACAUCUUCUAUCUUGUCUGAAUUAUUUUACUUAUGUUCCUUGCAACCUCUUUGGGAAAAAAAAAGAAAAGAAAAAAAGCCCAGUAUGGCUCUUUUCACUUGUUCAAAAUUUCCAGAAUAUGAAAUUGUUCGUGGAAAUGAAAUCUGCCAUGGUAAGUCUAAGGAAAAUCUUUCUCAUUACCCUUUUGGUGAUCCAAGCCUGCUGGAAAGGUGAGUUUUCUAUAAGCUCUGCCCCAGUAGGAUGCUAGUAGAAAGCCUGGGAAGGAGCCAGGGGCAGGGAUUUCCCUAGCCAUAUGGCAAAGCAGGUUCACCUUAGUUCUUCCCCAGAGAGACAGUAGUGGAGUCAUCUUCUUACUGAAGGUGAAUCUUUCAAGACCACUGUCUCUCUGUUUCAUACCAUUGAGUUUGGCCUACAGGGUUCAAAAUUAUUUGGAAAGAGAAGAGAAAGUAUGUCUGAAGGCCCAGACGUCAUAUGUUUGUAAAAGUUUGACUUUCUGAGGAAACCAAGAAAAAAUAUCAGGCAUAAAUAAUAAAUAUUGCAGAGGCAUAAACACUCAGCAUGUUUGAAAGCAGGAGUGCAAUUGGACCUCUCUGUUCAAUGGUACUGAUAUUUUAUGCUUGAUUGUAUUAAUCUCCUUCAUUUGGUGCUCAAUUACUGCCAAGCCCAACAGAGUUUCCUAUGUGUGAGGCUGGAGAGGAAAAAGGAGGUGGCACUGAGUGAUGUCAAAGGAAGAACCUAGCAGUUGAAACCAUGCCCAGGACCUAAUGCAGCGUUUCAAGGAUUCUAUACAAAACUAAAUAGGUUGCUAUAUAUUCAUUAUUUAAGUACCAAGCUGUGUUGUAUGAAAGAACUCAAACUGUAAACUGGGAUAGGCUGCAGAAAUGACUACCAAAAAAUAAAAAAAUUAAAAAAAAAAAGCAAAAAAAGCCUCUGAGCCUCUGGUGAAGCCUGGGGAGAAGAAGCCCUUGACUCUGGAUUUUUUAAGACUGCAGGAAAGUCAGAGAAUCAUUUAGGUUGGAAGAGAUUUCUAGUUCCACCAAGCCCAAUCAGUCUUUGAUUUGGGGUGUUUUUGGUUCUCUUUUGCUAUCUUUUCUGUUUCACUCAUAUGUUUUACACAAAAUAAUUUGACAUUUUUUCCCAAAGAUUAAAUUCAGCAAUUCAGUGGAUGGUAGUGGAUUAAGUUCUGCCUGAAGUUUCUUCACGUAAAAAUUAUAUGUAAAAAAUGUAAGGAAGUGCUAUUUCUUUCUACAUAUACACAAUACCUAUAUCAAAGGUAGCUUAAUACUUUGCGUGACUAAGUUAGAUAUUCCCAACUACAGGAUUUUACUGCCUGUGGUUAUGGAAAUUCAUUUGUACUGCAUUUUGGCUCUGUGGCCCAUUGAGUUUAUUCUAGCUUUUUUUUAGCCUUCAAGAACAUGAGUCAUUUCAUGAGAAUGAGAUUGCAAAUCACUCACAUUGUCAGUUUUCCCCCAGCAUUCUUCCCUGAGAACUUCUGAAAGAGUUGGGCCUGGGGGACACUACACCAGUCAUUCCCUAAGAGUGCCACUGGCAUCUUGUUGGUUUUAAUUGGUCUGUGUUUUUAAGAUAGUUUUUCUACAAUCUCAGUUGCUGUCACUUUGCAGUACUCCUUAAAACAUAUGUAGAAAGCAAUUAUCUCUUGCCCAAAAUGACAUAUAAGGUUGAGAAGCAAUUCUGGAUUUCUGUCAUUAAUAUAUUCUGGGUUUUUUCUGUGUGUGUGUGUGUUUUUGUUUUUGUUUUUAAUCUUAUUUGAAAGAAACCAAAUUAGUGAAAACCAAGUAAAGGUCUCAAAAUCUGGCAAGCAUUUAUCUUAUUGGAAGGAUUUUCCAGGAGAAAUUGUUUUACCAGUAUUCAAAAUGUUAGUCAUACCAGACAAUGAAUGACGACUGGAAGUACGGUGGAGAAAAUUGGGUAAAUGCACAACUAUAAAUGACAAGACUUUUUUUCCUUUUAUGAGAGCUAUUUUAAUUAUUUUCUGCUUCUUUUACUUUGAAGAUAAACACACAGAUUUUGGACAAGUUGUUCAUUAUGCUAUUGCUUGUUACAUCUACAAACCCAUUAACUUACUGAAUUGUCCUAGUUUCUGUUUUGUCUGGCGUGUUAAUUUAUAGACGUAAACGAAUGAUCUUGGCUUUAGUUUAACCAGAAAGGCCCAGCAAUCUGAGUAUGGGUUGAUUAUAUCAUAAACUCCUUAAAGAGGAGCACACAUGCACUCAGAACUUAUGAUUAAAUGGUGUGGCAGUGAGACAGGCCAUUAUAAUCAUUUUUACUUAGUAUACCAUUUUGACAUGUUCUGUACCACAGCUGCAAGUAAAUAUGUAAUAACUUGGUGAACUGUUGUCCUGAUUUCAGCCGAAGCAGUGUUAGUAGCACACCAAUGUUUGGGUGUUGUUGAGUGAUGGGAUCACACUCAGGGCUGGGCCAUUCAGUGGGGCAGAGCUGCCGCCAUGAUGGAGCGGGGCAAGGAGUGGCCAGGACAGUACCUGAAUGAGACACGGGGUUGUUCCAUACCACUGACACCACAUGGAAGGCCAUAAAGCUGUGGACAGUUGGCUGUGGGGUAGCCACUGCUUGGGGGCUGCUGUGUGUCAGCCAGUGGUGAUGAGAUCUUGUGCUGCUGGCACAAGUUGAUGGCAGUUGUGUUGUUACUGGGUGUCAGUCUGUGGGUGGUGAGUAAUUGCAUGGCUGCUAUAUGUAUUGUGAUCAUUGCAUAUUCACUUCAGUUUUCCUCUUCUGUCUCAGUAAAUAGCUUCUAUCUCAACCCACCAGUUCUAUUUUGUUUCUGACAGUUGUAAGGAAUAGCAUAGCUGCCCUGCAGAAAAGAAGCCUGAAAAUACCAUCAGCCUCUGCUGCAAACACCAGAGUCUGUCAUCAGCCAGAACAAAAGCAAGUACUUCAUUUGUACUGUGAGAGGGAUUUGCAGCCUCCCAUGCUGCAGCUGUCCCUGCUUGAGAAUUGUAAAAAGAACAGAGAAGCAGUGAUGGUUGCAGAGACAAGAAGCACCAGACAGGUCAAACCAGUGUUGCAUGCACAGCCCCAAGAGAAGCUAUUGGAGAGAGCCUUAUGGCCAAACGGAAACAGAGGUCCUCUUGAUGUCCUCUGAAGAGCAUCUCUCCUGGGCAUCAUUGUGCAGCCUGAGCUCUUGCCCGGGAGUGAGUGAUCACAGCUGAUAUCCUGGGGCCUUCCUGAGGAGUAAGGCUGAGGUAUUUUAAAUGCACUUUGGAUGGACCUGAAGAAGUUUAUUCCUCUUAAUAAACAAUGUUUUUGAAUAUGUUUGGAAACCUUUGCUUAA